CUCAUUUCAUUCUAACCACAAAACCAACCAAUCAACAUCCAUGAAACCACCUCUUCCCAUGCAAGCCCUAAAUUCCUCCUUAACCUUCAACCUCUUCACCUUCGGCACCCAACCUUUUCUUUCGCACCCCAUCUCCCCAUGGAGGAGCGGGUCGCGCCUUCUGCCGAGGACUCUCAGUGGCAGUCGUCGAGACCCGAACCUACCCCCAGCACCAACAACAACGACGACGACGACCUUUACCUGCAGUUAGCUCGCCCUCCAAGCUCUCUGUUAGCAACCUACGUUGUCCAAGUCCCUAAAGAUAAAAUAUAUCGUGUUCCACCUCCUGAAAACGCCCUUAUCGUAGAAAGUUACCGUCAGGCGGCUGGGCCGGCGAAGAAUAGGAAGAGGACAUGUUUCAAGUACUUGAUAUGGAUUGCUGUCGUUUUGGUUGUCAUUGGAGUUAUGGUAGGCGUAGCCCUAAAGAUUUUGUACGAUUCUUUUACUCCUAAGGCUCCCGUUUUCUCUGUUUCAAUGCUCCAAGUCAAGAAAUUUACGGAUCAUCCUCCUAAAUAUGAUGUCACGUUGAAAGUCCAUAACCCAAAUGAAAAGAUGGGAAUCAAAUAUGGAUCAGUUGAUGACGAUGCGAAGCUAAUUUUCUGGACGAAAACGCUUGGUGCGGGACAGUUUCCAAGCUUGUAUCAGAACAGCGGUGAUUCCAACGUUGUACAUGUUAAACUAAUUGGCCCUGAAGAUCAACCGGUGCCACUCAAUAUCCAGCGUAGUAUGAACGACAAAAAGCCAAAACAUCAAAUCUUUUUAGCGCUUAAGUUUAAUUCACCAUUGUUGCUGAACGUUGGGGUAUUCAAGAUGUGGAGUAGAGACAUGGAUGUCGAGUGUAAGUUUAGGGUGAACACGAUGGGGGAAGGAAGCAAAAUUCUGUCCCAAGAUUGUAACACCAAAUUGUCCUAAAGAUUGAUCAGAAAGGUAAUUAAUAAUUAUGAAGCUGUGAAGAAUUUCUUUGUUUAAUUAUCAUACGACAUAUUGGCUUAUUUCAUGUCAAAGAAAAAAAGGGACAAUAUAUUGAAUCCUUUUGGUGAAGAGGUAUGGCCAACAAACCUUUUCAGAUCGCUCCAUGCAAUUUUAUCCUUUUCUUUCAUGUGCUUUGUUUUGAUGAAAGGGAUUUCAACUUCAAACCCUUUUAUUUGGACGAGAGGUGUGUGACUACAAAUCCGGCUAUCCUUAUUUUUUAAAUUCUUUCUUCUUCUUGUUUUAUUAUUUUUUUAUUGAGGGAAUGAGAAUUCGAACUCUACUCUUUAAAUAGAGGAUCAUGUACCAACCGAUGAGCCAAAUACUCAAUUACAUUUUUUUUAUUUUUUUCUUUCUUUUUUAUAAAUAUCUUUAAGCGUGUACUGAUUUUUUUACUUGUAAUUAGUGCCUAGAAAUUGGUUACCAAUGGGAUGGAUGUGUUUUACAAA